rnacentral:rRNA from 1 species
GUAGGUGGCAAGCGUUGUCCGGAAUUAUUGGGCGUAAAGCGCGCGCAGGCGGUUCUUUAAGUCUGAUGUGAAAGCCCACGGCUCAACCGUGGAGGGUCAUUGGAAACUGGAGAACUUGAGUACAGAAGAGGAAAGCGGAAUACCACGUGUAGCGGUGAAAUGCGUAGAGAUGUGGAGGAACACCAGUGGCGAAGGCGGCUUUCUGGUCUGUAACUGACGCUGAGGCGCGAAAGCGUGGGGAGCAAACAGGAUUAGAUACCCUGGUAGUCCACGCCGUAAACGAUGAGUGCUAAGUGUUAGGGGGGUUUCCGCCCCCCUUAGUGCUGCAGCUAACGCAUUAAGCACUCCGCCUGGGAGUACGGCCGCAAGGCUG